rnacentral:rRNA from 1 species
CCGCCGCGCGCGGCGGGCGGGGCGGGGGCACGGGGGGCCUACGGGAGGCAGCAGUGAGGAAUAUUGGUCAAUGGACGAGAGUCUGAACCAGCCAAGUAGCGUGAAGGAAGACUGCCCUAUGGGUUGUAAACUUCUUUUGUAUGGGAAUAAAGUGCCCUACGUGUUGGGGUUUUGUAUGUACCUUACGAAUAAGCAUCGGCUAAUUCCGUGCCAGCAGCCGCGGUAAUAAU